GACGAACGCUGGCGGCGUGCUUAACACAUGCAAGUCGAACGGUGAACGAGGGAGCUUGCUCCCUCCGGAUCAGUGGCGAACGGGUGAGUAACACGUGAGCAAUCUGCCCCGAACUCUGGGAUAAGCGUUGGAAACGACGUCUAAUACCGGAUACGACGCGGGAGGGCAUCCUCUCCGCGUGGAAAGAACUUCGGUUCGGGAUGAGCUCGCGGCCUAUCAGCUUGUUGGUUAGGUAACGGCUCACCAAGGCGACGACGGGUAGCCGGCCUGGGAGGGUGACCGGCCACACUGGGACUGCGACACGGACCAGACUCCUACGGGAGGCAGCAGUGGGGAAUAUUGCACAGUGGGCGCAAGCCUGAUGCAGAAGCGCCGCGUGAGGGAAGACGGCCUUCGGGUUGUAAACCUCUUUUAGCAGGGAAGAAGCGAAAGUGACGGUACCUGCAGAAAAAGCACCGGCUAACUACGUG
rnacentral:rRNA from 1 species